rnacentral:rRNA from 1 species
AACGAACGCUGGCGGCAGGCCUAACACAUGCAAGUCGAGCGCGCCCUUCGGGGUGAGCGGCGGACGGGUGAGUCACGCGUGGGAACGUGCCCUUCUCUGCGGAAUAGCCUCGGGAAACUGAGAGUAAUACCGCAUACGCCCUGUGGGGGAAAGAUUUAUCGGAGAAGGAUCGGCCCGCGUUGCAUUAGGUAGUUGGUGGGGUAAUGGCCCACCAAGCCGACGAUCCAUAGCUGGUUUGAGAGGAUGAUCAGCCACACUGGGACUGGGACACGGCCCAGCCUCCUACGGGAGGCAGCAGUGGGGAAUCUUAGAAAAUGGGGGCAACCCUGAUGUAGCCAGGCCGCGUGAGUGAUGAAGGCCUUAGGGUUGUAAAGCUCUUUCAGCUGGGAAGAUAAUGACGGUACCAGCAGAAGAAGCCCCGGCUAACUCCGUG